UAUUCUGCCCCACGGGGAAGGAUGAGAAGCUUCGACCAAGGUUCGACUCGAGCGAAGCGAGAGAACGUUGCCGCAGGCAACGGCCCGAAGCGAAGCGCUUUAGCGCCGAGUAAUCCUUCCCCACCACUG
rnacentral:sRNA from 1 species